rnacentral:rRNA from 1 species
GACAGCCAGGAUGUUGGCUUAGAAGCAGCCAUCAUUUAAAGAAAGCGUAAUAGCUCACUGGUCGAGUCGGCCUGCGCGGAAGAUGUAACGGGGCUAAACCAUGCACCGAAGCUGCGGCAGCGACACUAUGUGUUGUUGGGUAGGGGAGCGUUCUGUAAGCCUGUGAAGGUGGCCUGUGAGGGUUGCUGGAGGUAUCAGAAGUGCGAAUGCUGACAUAAGUAACGAUAAAGCGGGUGAAAAGCCCGCUCGCCGGAAGACCAAGGGUUCCUGUCCAACGUUAAUCGGGGCAGGGUGAGUCGACCCCUAAGGCGAGGCCGAAAGGCGUAGUCGAUGGGAAACAGGUUAAUAUUCCUGUACUUGGUGUUACUGCGAAGGGGGGACGGAGAAGGCUAUGUUGGCCGGGCGACGGUUGUCCCGGUUUAAGCGUGUAGGCUGGUUUUCCAGGCAAAUCCGGAAAACCAAGGCUGAGGCGUGAUGA